rnacentral:rRNA from 1 species
UACAGAGGUCUCGAGCGUUGUUCGGAUUCAUUGGGCGUAAAGGGUGCGUAGGCGGCGUGGCAAGUCUGAUGUGAAAUCUCGGAGCUCAACUCCGAAACUGCAUUGGAUACUAUUCGGCUUGAGGUCUGGAGGGGGGACUGGAAUUCUCGGUGUAGCAGUGAAAUGCGUAGAUAUCGAGAGGAACACCAGUGGCGAAGGCGAGUCCCUGGACAGGUCCUGACGCUGAGGCACGAAAGCUAGGGGAGCAAACAGG